rnacentral:rRNA from 1 species
GAUGAACGCUGGCGGCGUGCCUAAUACAUGCAAGUCGAGCGAACGGACGAUAAGCUUGCUUCUCUGAUGUUAGCGGCGGACGGGUGAGUAACACGUGGAUAACCUACCUAUAAGACUGGGAUAACUUCGGGAAACCGGAGCUAAUACCGGAUGAUAUUUUGAACCGCAUGGUUCAAAAGUGAGAGACGGUCUUGCUGUCACUUAUAGAUGGAUCCGCGCUGCAUUAGCUAGUUGGUAAGGUAACGGCUUACCAAGGCAACGAUGCAUAGCCGACCUGAGAGGGUGAUCGGCCACACUGGAACUGAGACACGGCCCAGACUCCUACGGGAGGAAGCAGUAGGGAAUAUUCGGCAAUGGGCGAAAGCCUGACGGAGCAACGCCGCGUGAGUGAUGAAGGUCUUCGGAUCGUAAAACUCUGUUAUUAGGGAAGAACAUAUGUGUAAGUAACUGUGCACAUCUUGACGGUACCUAAUCAGAAAGCCACGGCUAACUACGUG